UGCAUAUAUUAGAUACAAAUACCAAAAAUACAAAGGUAGAAUCAUAAUAUUUAUAGCAAAUUAUACAGAGGAAGUAAUUCUUCUUGAUAAUAAACCGAUCAAAUUUCUGCCCUAUCAUACUUUUGGACGGUAAUGUAGUGGAUUACGGUGGUGAUGACGGGUAACGGAGAAUUAGGGUUUGAUUCCGGAGAGGGAGCAUGAGAAAUGGCUACCACUUCCAAGGAAGGCAGCAGGCGCGUAAAUUACCCAAUCCUAAAACAGGGAGGUAGUGACGAUAAAUAACAAUGAUUCAAUGAUAACAAAGUUGAAUUAAUUGGAAUGAGAACAAUAUAAAUCCCUUAUCGAGUAACAAUUUCAGGGCAAGUUCUGGUGCCAGCAGCCGCGGUAAUUCCAGCUGAAAAAGCGUAUACGAAUAUUGUUGCAGUUAAAAC
rnacentral:rRNA from 1 species